GAAAUGCGAUAAGUAAUGUGAAUUGCAGAAUUCAGUGAAUCAUCGAAUCUUUGAACGCACAUUGCGCCCGCCAGCACUCUGGCGGGCAUGCCUGUUCGAGCGUCAUUUCAACCCUCAGAACCCCUUGCGGGAUCUGGCGUUGGGGAUUGGCAUCCAGCCAGCCCCGAAAUCUAGUGGCGGUCCCUCCGCGACCUCCCCUGUGCAGUAGCGAUACCUCGCAGCGGGACAGCGGUCUGACCACGCCGUAAAACCCCCAACUUCUCAAGGUUGACUCGAAUCAGGUAGGAAUACCCGCUUAACUUAAGC
rnacentral:misc_RNA from 1 species